rnacentral:misc_RNA from 1 species
GAUGAAGAACGUAGCGAAAUGCGAUACGUAAUGUGAAUUGCAGAAUUCAGUGAAUCAUCGAAUCUUUGAACGCAUAUUGCGCUCUUUGGUAUUCCGAAGAGCAUGCUUGUUUGAGUAUCAGUAAACACCUCAAAGACUUCAAUUUGUUUUGAAUGGCUUUGGACUUGAGCAAUCCCAACACCAGUCUUUACGAUCGGUGGAGGGUUGCUUGAAAUGCAGGUGCAGCUGGACAUUCUCCUGAGCUAAAAGCAUAUUUAUUUAGUCCCGUCAAACGGAUUAUUACUUUUGCUGCAGCUAACAUAAAGGGAGUUUGACCGUAUUGGCUGACUGAUGCAGGAUUUCACAAGGGUCGGCAACGAUUCUUGUUAAACUCGAUCUCAAAUCAAGUAAGACUACCCGCUGAACUUAAGCAUAUCAAUAAGCGGAGGA